rnacentral:rRNA from 1 species
UACAGGGGGGGCAAGCGUUGUUCGGAAUUACUGGCGUAAAGGGCUCGUAGGCGGCCAACUAAGUCCGACGUGAAAUCCUCAGGCUUAACCUGGGAACUGCGUCGGAUACUGGAUGGCUUGAAUUCGGGAGAGGGAUGCAGAAUUCCAGGUGUAGCGGUGAAAUGCGUAGAUAUCUGGAGGAAUACCGGUGGCGAAGGCGGCAUCCUGGACCGACAUUGACGCUGAUGAGCGAAAGCUAGGGGAGCAAACGGG